ensembl:piRNA 21ur-5095 ncRNA
UUUCUGGACGUUUUCAGCAAU